AGUUUGAUCAUGGCUCAGAUUGAACGCUGGCCAAUUGAAGAGUUUGAUCAUGGCUCAGAUUGAACGCUGGCGGCAGGCCUAACACAUGCAAGUCGAGCGGAAACGAGUUAUCUGCACCUUCGGGGAACGAUAGCGGCGUCGAGCGGCGGACGGGUGAGUAAUGCCUAGGAAGAUGUGGGGGAUAACCAUUGGUUCAGUCGUGAGGAAGGUAGUGUAGUUAAUAGCUGCAUUAUUUGACGUUAGCGACAGAAGAAGCACCGAAACGAUGGCUAAUACCGCAUGAUGCCUACGGGCCAAAGAGGGGGACCACCAUGUCUGAGAGGAUGAUCAGCCACACUGGAACUGAGACACGGUCCAGACUCCUACGGGAGGCAGCAGUGGGGAAUAUUGCACAAUGGGCGCAAGAUGCAGCCAUGCCGCGUGUGUGAAGAAGGGGGUUGUAAAGCACUUUCAGUCGUGAGGAAGGUAGUGUAGUUAAUAGCUGCAUUAUUUGACGUUAGCGACAGAAGAAGCACCGAGUACUGUAGAGGGGGGUAGAAUUUCAGGUGUAGCGGUGAAAUGCGUAGAGAUCUGAAAUACCGGUGGCGAAGGCGGCCCCCUGGACAGAUACUGACACUCAGAGAUGAUGCGAAAGCGUGGGGAGCAAGAUUAGAUACCCUGGUUCCACGCCGUAAACGUCUACUUGGAGGUUGUGGCCUUGAGCCGUGGCUUUCGGAGCUAACGCGUUAAGUAGACCGCCUGGGGAGUACGGUCGCAAGAUUAAAACUCAAAUGAAUUGACGGGGGGGUUAAGUCCCGCAACGAGCGCAAUCCCAAAAACCCUUAUCCUUGUUUGCCAGCGAGUAAUGUCGGGAACUCCAGGGAGACUGCCGGUGAUAAACCGGAGGAAGGUGGGGACGACGUCAAGUCAUCAUGGCCCUUACGAGUAGGGCUACACACGUGCUACAAUGGCGCAUACAGAGGGCAGCCAACUUGCGAAAGUGAGCGAAUCCCAAAAAGUGCGUCGUAGUCCGGAUUGGAGUCUGCAACUCGACUCCAUGAAGUCGGAAUCGCUAGUAAUCGUGGAUCAGAAUGCCACGGUGAAUACGUUCCCGGGCCUUGUACACACCGCCCGUCACACCAUGGGAGUGGGCUGCAAAAGAAGUAGGUAGUUUAACCUUCGGGGGGACGCGCCCGCACAAGCGGUGGAGCAUGUGGUUUAAUUCGAUGCAACGCGAAGAACCUUACCUACUCUUGACAUCCAGAGACUUUCCAGAGAUGGAUUGGUGCCUUCGGGAACUCUGAGACAGGUGCUGCAUGGCUGUCGUCAGCUCGUGUUGUGAAAUGUUUGGCCCUU
rnacentral:rRNA from 1 species